rfam:Setaria italica strain Yugu1 chromosome IX, whole genome shotgun sequence.
AGAAGCCGUAUGAGAUGAAAACCUCAUGUACGGUUUUGGAAUGGAGAUUUUUUGAAUUGAAUAGAAUGAACGACCGUAAC